CGCAAGGGGAGCGGCAGACGGGUGAGUAACGCGUGGGAAUCUACCCUUGACUACGGAAUAACGCAGGGAAACUUGUGCUAAUACCGUAUGUGUCCUUCGGGAGAAAGAUUUAUCGGUCAAGGAUGAGCCCGCGUUGGAUUAGCUAGUUGGUGGGGUAAAGGCCUACCAAGGCGACGAUCCAUAGCUGGUCUGAGAGGAUGAUCAGCCACAUUGGGACUGAGACACGGCCCAAACUCCUACGGGAGGCAGCAGUGGGGAAUAUUGGACAAUGGGCGCAAGCCUGAUCCAGCCAUGCCGCGUGAGUGAUGAAGGCCCUAGGG
rnacentral:rRNA from 1 species